UAGAGGCUGAAAGGAAAACUUAAGUAAGAAGGUUACAGUUUGAUUGAGUGAAUUUCUUGCAUGAUAUAUCAGUUAUACCAAUCUUUAGCACAAAACCUUUUGAUCUUCUAUUGCAAAACCCCAAAAAUAUUGUAUAGGAUUAAUCUUUUGCAUCAACAGCUCAAUCUUUCCAUGGCUCCCAACAGCAAGUGCAAGUGCAAGUACAAGUGCUCUACCUCCACCACAGCCAAGUACUCUAAGUCCACCACUACCAGCAGGUCCAUUACUAAGUCCACUACUACCAGCAGGUCCACCACUAAGCCCGCCACCACCACCAAAAAAAUAGACCAUGGCCAAAAGCAUAAGAAAAUUGGAGCUUCUUCAUCAGCACCAAAAGCUAAAACCAGUCAAUGCAGAAACCACUACCCCGAUCACCACUAUCAUCGACAAAUAUCAAAGCCAAAAGCACCAAAAAAUGCCCUCACUCAACCAAAGCCUACACUAGGCAUGGCAAAUGCCGGGGCCACCUUCAAAUCCACCACCACCAAGGCCACCCUCAGGUUGGGACAAGGAGUAGAAUUCGAAAUGGUAACAGAAGAAGCAGUAUUCAUAGAUGGACAGCUAGUUUUUAUCAGUUAAUGGCAUGCAAGUUCUCAGUUUCUAAAGGAGUUGGAUGCUGCAGCUAUGAAGGAAUCCUUAGCUGAAUCUAUCCUGGGAUUCAUCAGAACUUGUAAUAUGUUAGGAGAUUAUGUUGAAAUUUUAUUUUUUUUUCCUUUUUCUGGUGUUUGUACUUGGUGAACAAAAUAAUAGAAUUAUCUAAUUAUAAC